UACGUAGGUGGCAAGCGUUAUCCGGAUUUAUUGGGUGUAAAGGGAGCGUAGACGGCAGCGCAAGUCUGGAGUGAAAUGCCGGGGCUCAACCCCGGAACUGCUUUGGAAACUGUGCAGCUAGAGUGCGGGAGAGGUAAGCGGAAUUCCUAGUGUAGCGGUGAAAUGCGUAGAUAUUAGGAGGAACACCAGUGGCGAAGGCAGCUUACUGGACCGUAACUGACGUUGAGGCUCGAAAGCGUGGGGAGCAAACAGG
rnacentral:rRNA from 1 species